rnacentral:rRNA from 1 species
GACGAACGCUGGCGGCGUGCUUAACACAUGCAAGUCGAACGAAGAGCGAUGGAAGCUUGCUUCUAUCAAUCUUAGUGGCGCACGGGUGAGUAACGCGUAAUCAACCUGCCCUUCAGAGGGGGACAACAGUAGGAAACGACUGCUAAUGCCGCAUACGAUCUGACCUCGGCAUCGAGGAUAGAUGCAAGGUGGCCUCUAUUUAUAAGCUAUCACUGAAGGAGGGGAUUGCGUCUGAUUAGCUAGUUGGAGGGGUAACGGCCCACCAAGGCGAUGAUCAGUAGCCGGUCUGAGAGGAUGAACGGCCACAUUGGGACUGAGACACGGCCCAGACUCCUACGGGAGGCAGCAGUGGGGAAUCUUCCGCAAUGGACGAAAGUCUGACGGAGCAACGCCGCGUGAGUGAUGACGGCCUUCGGGUUGUAAAGCUCUGUUAAUCGGGACGAAAGGCCUUCUUGCGAAUAGUUAGAAGGAUUGACGGUACCGGAAUAGAAAGCCACGGCUAACUACGUG